ensembl:lncRNA
ACACGUUGUUAAUAUCAGCUUCUGUCUGCAAACCAUUCCUCUUAUGUUGAGUUGUUGGUGCUUUGGCAGUUGAGGGUUGGAUGGAAGUGGAUAAUGCAACAUGCAAUCGUACAAGCUGAGAUUACAUUCAAAUGUUGUUUUCGUUCCGACCUCAAGAGCUUGUGUGCUUUGUCUUUCUAUUGUAAUCGUUUUUGUACUGAUUGAUGUUUGCUGUCUUGAUGGCAUAAAAAAAUCUGUUUCAUUUGUCAAUUCAGCGAAUGGAAAUGACAAACCAUGACUAAGGACAUAUUAUUUUACUAUUUUAAACAUUCAGCAUCCACAUCCCAGUGUGUUUACAGUACACCUAGUGUGCUCAUUGUACAAAAAGUAUACACAGUACUUCUUUUAAUUCUGCUUUAAUCAGAACAUUUGAAUAAAUGAUUUCUACAUUAAGCCAUGCCUAUUCAAAAAGAUUUUCGUCUGAGCCAAAUAGAACCAAAUAGAACUCUAGUACCUGGAUUGAAGUCAUGGCAUCUAGACAACGGUUAAGGUUUGGUGGUGAAGUAACUUAACCGCUUCAGAAUAAUUGAAUGGAAGUUUAAUAAUGAUGAACUUUAAUCGCUGCAUUGUGAAAUGAUGCAUGCUGUUGUCUUCUACAUUGACAGAGACAGAGCACUGUGCAUCCAUCCACCAAACCUACCUUGCCGUUCUGACUUCUUGACACGGCAUUAGCCUUUCAACAUGAAUUUGAUACCUAGGGAAAACUGUGCAUGCCCCCAGGUAAGUAUAGUAUCAGAUGCAUGAAUAUUUUGUUAAUUGUUCUUCUUGUAAUGUAUCACAAGGUUAAGUUGAGUCAAUACAUUUGUAUAGAAAUAUAUAACAAAUCCCAUAUAAGUCUCAAUGGGUUUUACAAUUUGUUUACAGCAAUGUCUUUCAUCUUGCUAGCAGUGUUGUGCCGGCGUUUCUUCAUGAUCCACCUGACGAUGACGCUCAACCAACAACAACUUCUUUCAGUCCACGUGCAUAUCUCUGCAGAUCCGUUGCGUAGGAGAUGUGAGAGAAGGGCUCGACGCUGAUGUCAUCAUUUCUGAUGUUCCGGUGCCCUGAGGCACCAGCAUCCAGGGCAGCUUUUAGAAUAAAUGACCAUGCUACAGUAUGAUGAACGGCUGAAGCAAAACCACUUUGGUCAGAUGAUGCAUGUUCUGUUCACGUUGGAUGAUGUCAUAGCACACGGCCUACAAGGCAGAACAUUCCGCAGUUACCUGCUCACCAGGAUGGCAGUGAUUGACACCCGGGGGGCCGGGGGGGUCACAGCUCCUUCUGUAAUGAACAUUGUUAGAGUGUGAAACGAGAGCAGGG